UACGUAGGGUGCAAGCGUUGUCCGGAAUUAUUGGGCGUAAAGAGCUCGUAGGCGGCUUGUUACGUCUGCUGUGAAAUCCCAGGGCUUAACCCCGGGCGUGCAGUGGAUACGGGCAGGCUGGAGGCAGGCAGGGGAGAACGGAAUUCCCGGUGUAGCGGUGAAAUGCGCAGAUAUCGGGAGGAACACCGGUGGCGAAGGCGGUUCUCUGGGCCUGUACUGACGCUGAGGAGCGAAAGCGUGGGGAGCGAACAGG
rnacentral:rRNA from 1 species